AGAGUUUGAUUAUGGCUCAGCCUGAACGCUGGCGGCGUGCCUAACACAUGCAAGUCGAACGGCCUUUUAAACUGGAAGUUUUCGGAUGGAAGGAAUAAAGUUUAGUGGCGGACGGGUGAGUAACGCGUGGGUAACCUCCCCUGUACAGGGGGAUAACAGCUGGAAACGGCUGCUAACACCGCAUAACAUAGUGAUACCGCAUGAUAUUGCUAUCAAAUAUUUAUAGGUACAGGAUGGGCCCGCGUCUGAUUAGCCAGUUGGCAGGGUAAUGGCCUACCAAAGCGACGAUCAGUAGCCGGCUUGAGAGAGUGACCGGCCACAUUGGGACUGAGACACGGCCCAAACUCCUACGGGAGGCAGCAGUGGGGGAUAUUGCACAAUGGGGGAAACCCUGAUGCAGCGACGCCGCGUGAGUGAAGAAGUAUUUCGGUAUGUAAAGCUCUAUCAGCAGGGAAGAUGAUGACAGUACCUGACUAAGAAGCCCCGGCUAACUACGUGCCAGCAGCCGCGGUAAUACGUAGGGGGCAAGCGUUAUCCGGAUUUACUGGGUGUAAAGGGAGCGUAGGCGGCUGGGCAAGUCAGAAGUGAAAGCCCGGGGCUCAACCCCGGGACUGCUUUUGAAACUGUCCAGCUAGAGUGUCGGAGGGGUAGGCGGAAUUCCUAGUGUAGCGGUGAAAUGCGUAGAUAUUAGGAGGAACACCAGUGGCGAAGGCGGCCUACUGGACGAUGACUGACGCUGAGGCUCGAAAGCGUGGGGAGCAAACAGGAUUAGAUAACCUGAUAAUCCACGCCGUAAAAGAUGAAUACUAGGUGUUGGGGUCCACAAGGACUUCGGUGGCCGUCCG
rnacentral:rRNA from 1 species